rnacentral:rRNA from 1 species
UACGGAGGGUGCGAGCGUUAAUCGGAAUUACUGGGCGUAAAGGGUGCGUAGGUGGUUUGAUAAGUUAUCUGUGAAAGCCCUGGGCUCAACCUGGGAAGGCCAGAUAAGACUGUGAGACUCGAGUACAGGAGAGGGCAGUGGAAUUUCCGGUGUAGCGGUGAAAUGCGUAGAGAUCGGAAGGAACACCAGUGGCGAAGGCGGCUGUCUGGCCUGAUACUGACACUGAGGCACGAAAGCGUGGGGAGCAAACAGG